GUCCUCCAAUACCAGCUGAGGCCUUCUCGUGGCCUCCCCCUUGCCUGUGCCGAUUGUCCUUUUCCCAUCCCCCAGACUCUCUGCCUCCGCCAAAAUUUAAUUAAAUGCAUUGAGAAUCUGGAGGAGCUACAGAGUCUUCGAGAGCUGGAUCUUUACGACAACCAGAUCAAGAAGAUUGAGAAUCUGGAGGCGCUAACAGAGCUGGAGAUUCUAGAUAUUUCUUUUAAUCUGCUGAGAAACAUCGAAGGGGUUGACAAGUUGACACAACUGAAAAAACUCUUCUUGGUCAACAAUAAAAUCAGUAAAAUUGAGAACUUAAGCAACUUACAUCAACUACAGAUGCUAGAGCUGGGAUCUAACCGCAUCCGGGCAAUCGAAAAUAUCGACACCUUAACCAACCUGGAGAGUUUGUUUUUGGGGAAAAACAAAAUUACUAAACUUCAGAACCUGGAUGCGCUCACCAACCUGACAGUCCUCAGUAUGCAGAGCAACCGGCUGACCAAGAUCGAGGGUCUGCAGAACCUGGUGAACCUGCGGGAGCUGUACCUUAGCCACAAUGGCAUCGAGGUCAUCGAGGGCCUGGAGAACAAUAACAAACUCACGAUGUUGGACAUUGCAUCAAAUAGAAUCAAAAAGAUUGAAAAUAUCAGCCAUCUAACAGAGCUGCAAGAGUUCUGGAUGAACGACAAUCUCCUUGAGAGCUGGAGCGACCUCGAUGAGCUGAAGGGAGCCAGGAGCCUGGAGACAGUGUACCUGGAGCGGAACCCCCUGC
rnacentral:sRNA from 1 species